rnacentral:rRNA from 1 species
CACGAACGCUGGCGGCGUGCCUAACACAUGCAAGUCGAACGCGACUUUCGUUUCGAGUGUCGAAUAGUUGCGGAAUGUGAGGGAACCUGCCAGUAGGUUCGUAAUAUCUCCCCGAUAGGAGUCGUAAUCCCGGGCAACGCCUUGGGCUGAAAUUACAAUCGCCUUUGGCUGAGCCCACGCUGGUUUAGGUAGUUGGUAGGGUAAAAGCCUACCAAGGUGACGAUACAGAGCUGGCCCGCGAGGAGGAUCAGCGACACAGGGACUGGGACACGGCCCAGACGCCUACGGGAGGCGGCAGUGGUGAAUAUUGGACAGUGGGCGGAAGCCUGAGCCAGCCUUGCCGCGUGAGCGAUGAAGGCCUUGGAGUUGGAAAGCUAUUUUAGCCGGGAUGAUAAUGACGGUACCAGGAGAAGAAGCUCCGGCUAACUACGUG